UUAAGCGGUUAAGAUUGAAGAAUAUAAUUAUUUGUAUGCACAAUAACACGAUGAAAAGGAGCGGAAAUGAGACAACGAUGUUCCACUAUCAAAGAGGAACAUAAAACAAAUGAAAACGAUGACUCGUAUUCAUCUAUAUAUACCAUGAAAAAUCAAGCAAAUUUUUUACACUCCCUAUGUAUAUAUAACAUAAACUCCUGAAUAUAAGCAGAAGCAACAAAGCAGGUUCAAUAUAUUAACCGGACUAGCUACUCAGAGGGGUUAAUCUUUUUCUUGUCAUUCUUGAAAGAGGACACCACAGCUUUCACCACCUUUUCAGCAGCCAUGGCCUUCACUGACUUUUUGUCCUUCUUUGGGAACACGCUUCCUUUCUUAGCUGUACUGCUUUCACCGAUAUAUCCUUUCCCUUUUCCAUUAUUAUUGUCCAUCUCUUCAGAUCUCUUAUAGAGUUUAAGUAUAUAUAAAAAAGUGUAUGAAAUAUAUUGCGUUGUUGCUUAACUUGUGGU
rnacentral:lncRNA from 1 species